GGGCCCGUGGCGCAAUUGGACAGCGCAAUCCGCUUCGGACGGAUAGGCUGGGGGUUCGAAUCCCUCCGGGCUCG
rnacentral:tRNA from 1 species